rnacentral:rRNA from 1 species
AUACGUAGGGGGCGAGCGUUGUCCGGAAUGAUUGGGCGUAAAGGGCGCGUAGGCGGCCGCUUAAGUCUGGAGUGAAAGUCCUGUUUUCAAGAUGGGAAUUGCUUUGGAUACUGGGGGGCUUGAGUGCAGGAGAGGUUAUCGGAAUUCCCGGUGUAGCGGUGAAAUGCGUAGAGAUCGGGAGGAACACCAGUGGCGAAGGCGGGUAACUGGACUGCAACUGACGCUGAUGCGCGAAAGUGUGGGGAGCAAACAGGAUUAGAUACCCUGGUAGUCCACACUGUAAACGAUGAAUGCUAGGUGUAAGAGGUAUCGACCCCUUUUGUGCCGGAGUCAACACAAUAAGCAUUCCGCCUGGGGAGUACGGCCGCAAGGUUGAAACUCAAAUGAAUUGACGGGG